rnacentral:rRNA from 1 species
UGCCUUACACAUGCAAGUCGAACGGUAACAGCACUUCGGUGGCUGACGAGUGGCGAACGGGUGAGUAAUACAUCGGAACGUGCCUAGUAGUGGGGGAUAACUACUCGAAAGAGUGGCUAAUACCGCAUGAGAUCUAUGGAUGAAAGCAGGGGACCUUAGGGCCUUGUGCUACUGGAGCGGCCGAUGGCAGAUUAGGUAGUUGGUGGGAUAAAAGCUUACCAAGCCGACGAUCUGUAGCUGGUCUGAGAGGACGAUCAGCCACACUGGGACUGAGACACGGCCCAGACUCCUACGGGAGGCAGCAGUGGGGAAUUUUGGACAAUGGGCGCAAGCCUGAUCCAGCCAUGCCGCGUGCAGGAUGAAGGCCUUCGGGUUGUAAACUGC